AAUGAGAGCGGGCUGAGCGGUGCCACCUGAGCCAAUGAGAGCGGGCCGUGCGGUGAGCCAAUGAGAGCGGGCCGUGCAGUUAGCCAGUGAGAGUGGGCCGGGCCGUGCCACCUGAGCCAAUGAGCGCCAGCAGGCACCUCCUACUGCACGAGCUCUCGGCCAAUGAAAAUCCCGCGUCCACCUGGUUGCGCGCGUUCUGGGAAGAGGUUCGUUGCCCUGUGGUUUCUCCUUCUGCGUCUGUUUUGUUUCUGAGCCACGGUGGCCGGCUUUGGAAGUAGUGGGGCCGGACCUGUUUCAGAGGAGCCAAGGGAAGUAUCCUGUUGGAUUCCAACGGACGCUAAAGGGGCCUUGAAGGAAACAGUCCAGGAAAGGCAGAUCAACAGGCACGUACAGUUAAAUGUUUUUCCCACAGAAUUGCAUCGUGCUGUACCACACAGAUUUUCGGAAACCUAAGAUGCGGUAUUGAACUAAUUCUACAUCUAACUCCAAUUGUAAUAAAGUUAAUACAUGCAGACGAUCUGAUGAGCAAGUGUAAUGGUUGAAACGUUUGACACGGACAGAGGCCGCCGAGAGGGGUAUGUGGGGGGCCGGAAGGGCUCCGUGAUGACCGGGUGUCGGGGAGACUUUCCGAAGCCACGUGGGUCUGGCUGCCGUGGCCCCACGCCAGUAACUGCGUACCGGGCACCGAUCUAAGUCCUUGGUAUCUACUAAGUCACGAAAACUGGAGAGGAAAAACACCCACCAGUCCGUGGAAGAGCUCCAUGAACAGGUGCCGUGAGCCCCACUUUACAGAUGAAGAAGAAGGGGGACACAGGGGUCGGCACGCUGUCUGGGGCUCCCGGCUGGACCAGCCAGGUCCAGGCAGUGUGGCGGGGACCACAGUCUCACCCCCGGGGGUCACCGGGUCGGGCCCCCCACCCUGCAGGCUACGAAGAGGUCAGAAGAGGGCAAACCCGGGGCUCGCUCCAUUCAGAGGCAUGACCUUUUGCCGAAGUCGGACGCUCAACCGACUGAGCCACACAGGCGCCCCCAAAAGCAUCUACUUAAAAUGAGCAACUCAGUGACUCUGAUACCACAACUAAGAUACAGAGCAUUCCCCGCCCCCCCCCCCAGAAGAUUGCUCGGAGGUGCGAUAAUCCUUCCUUUGUACAAAAGACCGAACCCAACUUUCAUCGGCUGCCGGGCUUUAAGGAAAAUGUUUUAUUUUUAAGUAAUCUCUACACCCAACACGGGGCUUGAACUGACACUCCCAAGACGAAGAGAUGCACGCCCCACCGACCGACCAGCCAGGCGCCCCCACCCACCGAACAACUUUCAAAGGGCAGCGGGAGAAAACGAAAUGGUUUUGAUCACAUGCUGUGCUUGUUGGACACGAUGAAGAUAAGACGUGCUGGGUGAAGUGUUCGCUUGGCGGGUGUCUGCCACUAGCCAGCUGCCCGGAGCCCAGUCCCUGCCGGGACCACCCGCCCUGCCCGCAGAGGGCCGCCGGCCCCGCCCUGGGGUCUUCACCGCCUGUCACGGCCCGUCACACUGUCCCUGGUGUCCUGGGCACCGCGGUGGCACCGAAUCACCACCAGUAUGACAACCGGGACCCAGGAACUGCUCAGGCAAAGGUUUCCCACUCCAGACACGCAGGGGAGGACGGGCCAUCCUCGGGGCAAGUUCACGGCAAAACACCAAGAGGAAAAUAAGAGCUCAGUUGUCCCAGGAGCGUCUGGCCGUGACCUGGGCAGCGUCACCGAAGCCGGACGGUGGCUGUGAGAUUAGCCCGAGUACCGCCACUUGAACCGUUCCGGGCGCGGGCUCUGUCUCCGUGGUUUCCAUCUUCACAAAAAAUCACAGAAUGUCUUCGUGAUGCUCUGCAGCCGUGGUUUCGAACGUCCAGAGAAGUCCCAGAGGACGUGGGCCCGAACCCACGCCUCUGCGCCCCCUCCGCCCCCGUGCGCCGCCUCGGUCCUUGCUGGAGGGGCCUGCCUCGGCCCAAACAGGCUGCUGAUGCCCGACACCCCACAUCCACCUCCCUUGCGGCUGGCGCUCGGGCGUGUGGCCCGACCUGGCCUAUCAGUCCCCGGGGACCAACGGAGAAAAGUCUCUUUUUUCCCUUUUUUUUCGGGAGAAAGAGAACGAUGAGGGGGCGACUGUCUCCUUCCCUGCUGUCGGCGCGUGGCCAGCGUGGAGGGAAAGCCCAGAGAACGGAGCCGAAUUAGAACCCCAGCACCGAUGACCGCGAAGCACCUUCUAGGAGCUCCCGGACCCAGCGGAGGAGGCCGUGGACCAGAUCCCGGGCUCCUCACUCUCCUGUCAUUGGCUCUGUCCUCACCGUUCUCCAGGGGCUAGUCAUCGGCCGAGAGAGGGGCCGAGGCAGCCGCGACGCAGGCCU